AGAGUUUGAUCAUGGCUCAGGAUGAACGUUGGCUGUGUGCCUAAGGUAUGCAAGUCGAACGAUUCUUUAUGAAAUUUCUGAAACUUCGGUUGAUGAUUUUUCGCUUAGAAUAGUGACAAACGGGUGAGUAACAUGUGGAUAAUCUGCCUCAAAGUCGUGAACAGCUCGCCGAAAGGCGGGGUAAUACUCGAUAGUCUUGUUCUUUCAUAAUGUUUGAACAAGUAAAGCUCAGGCGCUUUGGGAUGAGUCCGCAUCCUAUCAGCUUGUUGGUGAGGUAAAAGCUCACCAAGGCUAAGACGGGUGGCUGGCGUGAGAGCGCGGUCAGCCACCAUGGAACUGAGACACGGUCCAUACUCCUACGGGAGGCAGCAAUUAGGAAUCUUGCACAAUGGGGGCAACCCUGAUGCAGCGACACAGCGUGGAGGAUGAAGGUCUUCGGAUUGUAAACUCCUUUUAUAUGGGACGAAUAGAUGACGGUACCAUACGAAUAAGUACCUGCUAACUACGUGCCAGAAGCAUCGGUGAUGCGUAGGGUACGAACGUUAUCCGGAUUAAUUGGGCGUAUAGAGAAGCGUAGGCGUUUUUGUUAGUCUUUAGUUAAAUACCACGGCCUAACCGUGGGAAAGCUAUAGAUACUGCAGAAAUUGAGACAGGAAUGGGCGAAUGGAAUUCCCAGUGGAGCAGUGAAAUGCGUUGAUAUUGGGAGGAACAUCAGUGGCGAAGGCGAUUCGCUGGUCCUUGUCUGACGCUAAGGCUCGAAAGCGUGGGUAGCAAAACGGAUUAGAUACCCGUGUAGUCCACGCCGUAAACAAUGGAUGCUAGGUGUUUGGUACAACUACCUAAUCCUUCGGGAUUGGAUGGAAGUAUUGAGUGCCGCAGCUAACGCGUUAAGCAUCCCGCCUGGGAAGUACGGCCGCAAGGCUAAAACUCAAAUGAAUUGACGG
rnacentral:rRNA from 1 species